rnacentral:misc_RNA from 1 species
GAUGAAGAACGUAGCAAAAUGCGAUAAGUAAUGUGAAUUGCAGAAUUCAGUGAAUCAUCGAAUCUUUGAACGGACAUUGCGCCCGCCAGUAUUCUGGCGGGCAUGCCUGUUCGAGCGUCAUUUCAACCCUCAAGCACAGCUUGGUGUUGGGACUCGCGUUAAUUCGCGUUCCUCAAAUUGAUUGGCGGUCACGUCGAGCUUCCAUAGCGUAGUAGUAAAACCCUCGUUACUGGUAAUCGUCGCGGCCACGCCGUUAAACCCCAACUUCUGAAUGUUGACCUCGGAUCAGGUAGGAAUACCCGCUGAACUUAAGCAUAUCAAUAAGCGGAGGA